rnacentral:rRNA from 1 species
AGCGAACGCUGGCGGUAGGCCUAACACAUGCAAGUCGAACGGCAGCACAGUAAGAGCUUGCUCUUACGGGUGGCGAGUGGCGGACGGGUGAGGAAUACAUCGGAAUCUACUUUUUCGUGGGGGAUAACGUAGGGAAACUUACGCUAAUACCGCAUACGACCUCCGGGGGAAAGCAGGGGAUCUUCGGACCUUGCGCGUUUGAAUGGGCCGAUGUCGGAUUAGCUAGUUGGCGGGGUAAAGGGCAACCAAGGCGGCGAUCCGUAGCUGGUCUGAGAGGAUGAUCAGCCACACUGGAACUGAGACACCGUCCCGACUCCUGCGGGAGGCAGCAGUGUGGAAUAGUGGACAGUGGUCGCAAGCCUGAUCCAGCCAUACCACGUGGGUGAAGAAGGCCUUCGGGUUGUAAUGCCCUUUUGUUGGGAGAGAAAAGCAGCAGGUUAAUACCCCGCUGUACUGACGGUACCCAAAGAAUAAGCACCGGCUAACUUCGUG